CACGUAGGGGCAGCAGUCGUUCGAUUCGAUGUGGCGUAAAGAGCUCGUAGGCGGCUAGUAAGUCGGAGUGUGAAAACCCCAGGCUCAACCUGGGGACGCCACCCGAUACUGCUAUAGCUAGAGUCCAGUAGGGGAGUGUGGAAUUCCCAGUGUAGCGGUGAAAUGCGCAGAUAUUGGGAGGAACACCAGCGGCGAAGGCGGCACUCUGGGCUGGUACUGACGCUGAGGAGCGAAAGCGUGGGUAGCGAACAGG
rnacentral:rRNA from 1 species